rnacentral:snoRNA from 1 species
AUAAUACUGCUCUGUUCAUUAGAAUGUUGUUUUUGAUCUGCUAUGGAGGUGACCAUAAAAAAAUACCCUUCCCACUAGGUUUUCUUUUUGCUGCCUUGCUAAAAUUCAGCCUGUUAUAGGGAACAUUC